UACGUAGGAUGCAAGCGUUGUCCGGAUUUACUGGGCGUAAAGCGCGCGCAGGCGGCAGUGUAAGUAAGGUGUGAAAUCUCCCUGCUCAACGGGGAGGGUGCAUUUUAGACUACACAGCUAGAGGUCGGUAGAGGGGGGGUGGAAAUUGCUGGUGUAGCGGUGAAAUGCGUAGAGAUCAGCAGGAACACCCGUGGCGAAGGCGGCCCCCCUGGGCCGUACCUGACGCUGAGGCGCGAAGGCUAGGGGGAGCGAACGGGGAUUAAGAAAACCCUGGUA
rnacentral:rRNA from 1 species